ensembl:ncRNA
UGAGAUCAUUUUGAAAGCUGAUU